GCCGGAGUGCUGGAACAGGCAGACGGGCCCGCCUCAAAAGCGGGUGGGGUCAACCCCCGUGUGGGUUCGAGUCCCACCUCCGGCACCA
rnacentral:tRNA from 1 species